ACAUAAGUGUCAAAAGUCAAAUGCGCUUCUGCUUGCAGAAAAAGCAUAUUGACCUUAUGACACGCUGAAACAUGAGGAAGUAGCUGUUUUUAUAGAAAACAAGCGGAUUCCGAAUGUUUCAAGGAUUGUGAUAGUUUCGUAAGAAACGGAACAAUCCGUAU
rnacentral:sRNA from 1 species